CCUCCUGCUCGGCUGGGUCGUAGGUGUAGAGAGGAAGGAGCCUGUGACGUAGCUGAUCGAGCCUGGAGCCCAGAAGAACACGUGUUGAAGACACCAAGGGUCGGUCACAGUUUAACCUGCCGAGCAUUGCCGGAGAAACAGCUUCACCAUAAUGGAUUAGUUGAAAGCCCGGUGCCUCAGCUGUGAGAGGGGUGAUAGAAGAGAGACGGAGACGGCGCUGCCGCCCUAUCAUGUCAUCAUGGAUCCUUCCGGAUUGCCGUACCCGGCCUUCAGGGCCCUCAGACGCUCCUCCCCGCAGGACCAGACGGUCUCUCCCCAGGCGCCAGAGGGGAACCUGUACGAGGACAUCGGUGACGUCGUGGUGCGGGGGCCCCUCGAACCGUCUCCGCUCGCCGCUUCGGCCCCGGCUCAGUCGGCCCCGGCGCCCGGGGCUGCGGCGGCCCCGGCCUUCACUCU